GACAGAGGGUGCAAACGUUGCUCGGAAUUACUGGGCGUAAAGCGCGUGUAGGCGGACCACCAAGUCGGACGUGAAAGCCCUGAGCUCAACUCAGGAACUGCAUCCGAAACUGGCGGUCUGGAGUAGUGGAGAGGAAAGCAGAAUUCCUGGUGUAGAGGUGAAAUUCGUAGAUAUCAGGAGGAACACCGGUGGCGAAGGCGGCAUCCUGGACCAAUACUGACGCUGAGGAGCGAAAGCCAGGGGAGCAAACGGG
rnacentral:rRNA from 1 species